GACGAACGCUGGCGGCGUGCUUUAGGCAUGCAAGUCGAACGCGAAAGCCCCUUCGGGGGUGAGUAGAGUGGCGAACGGGUGAGUAACACGUGGGUAACCUGCCCCUCGCAGGGGGAUAACCGGGGGAAACCCCGGCUAAUACCCCGUACGCUUGCUGGGGCGCAUGCUCCGGCAAGGAAAGGUAGCUUCGGCCAUCCGGCGAGGGAGGGGCCCGCGGCCCAUUAGCUAGUUGGUGGGGUAACGGCCCACCAAGGCGACGAUGGGUAGCUGGCCUGAGAGGGUGGUCAGCCACACUGGGACUGAGACACGGCCCAGACUCCUACGGGAGGCAGCAGCCAGGAAUCUUGCGCAAUGGGCGAAGGCCUGACGAAGAAACGCCGCGUGGGCGAUGAAGGCUUUCGGGUCGUAAAGCCCUGUUGUCGGGGACGAAGGGCGAAGGGUUAAUAGCCCCUAGCCUGACGGUACCCGACGAGGAAGCCCCGGCUAACUACGUG
rnacentral:rRNA from 1 species